rnacentral:rRNA from 1 species
AACGUAGGAGGCGAGCGUUAUCCGGAAUUACUGGGCGUAAAGCGCGUGUAGGCGGAUUACCAAGUCAUUUGUGAAAGCUCCCGGCUAAACUGGGAGAGGUCGAAUGAGACUGGUAGUCUAGAGAGCAGGAGAGGAGUGCGGAAUUCCGGGUGUAGUGGUGAAAUGCGUAGAUAUCCGGAGGAACACCAGUGGCGAAGGCGGCACUCUGGCCUGCAACUGACGCUAAGACGCGAAAGCAUGGGGAGCGAACGGG